CGAGGCUGGACCGGGGCUGCGGCUCCUCCCCGUGAUGUCAGCUGGAUGAGGGGUGCUGCCGGGCCGGCCCAGAAGGGUGUGGGGCGGAUCCCACGGAUCACGUAGGACGGAGCAGUGGCUGCAGGGCUCCUCCCAGUCCCGGGAGAGGUUGGAGCGGCCGGGUGGCACGGCAGCCCUUAUGGGGCAGAAGCACCCACUACUUGGUCUGUUCCCCCAAGCAGGGCGGCAUGAUGUGCCCGCCUGGGAAAGAUGUUUCUGUGCCGCUCUUGUGAGCCAGCCAGGAGGCUUCCUCAGGAUAAGGAAAGCCUUAUAUCUCUCUCGAGGAAGUCACCAAGGUUAUCACCAUGACAAAGUGAAGAAAGAGAGAAAGUAAAAAGAUCUGAACUUUGGUUGUCUCACACAGUGACAUGGCUCCAUUUACUUAUCAAAAGUUUUGUUUUUUUAUAACCAAUGGGCAGUGUAUGUUUUCAUUAAUUAAAUGUAAGCAUCUUGUAAGAUUAUAAAAGCAACAUGUUGCUUUAAUAAAAAGGUCUGUACAGCCUUC